UAGAGUUUGAUCAUGGCUCAGGAUGAACGCUGGCGGCGUGCCUAAUACAUGCAAGUCGAACGCGGGCACUUGUGCCCGAGUGGCGAACGGGUGAGUAAUACAUAAGUAACCUGGCCUUUACAGGGGGAUAACUGCUGGAAACGGCAGCUAAGACCGCAUAGGUAGGGACACUGCAUGGUGACCGUAUUAAAAGUGCUGCAAGGCACUGGUAGAGGAUGGACUUAUGGCGCAUUAGCUGGUUGGUGAGGUAACGGCUCACCAAGGCGACGAUGCGUAGCCGACCUGAGAGGGUGACCGGCCACACUGGGACUGAGACACGGCCCAGACUCCUACGGGAGGCAGCAGUAGGGAAUUUUCGGCAAUGGGGGGAACCCUGACCGAGCAACGCCGCGUGAAGGAAGAAGGAAUUCGUUCUGUAAACUUCUGUUAUAAAGGAAGAAAGACGGAUGGAGGAAAUGACAUCCGAGUGACGGUACUUUAUGAGAAAGCCACGGCUAACUACGUGCCAGCAGCCGCGGUAAUACGUAGGUGGCAAGCGUUAUCCGGAAUUAUUGGGCGUAAAGAGGGAGCAGGCGGCAGCAAAGGUCUGUGGUGAAAGACUGAAGCUUAACUUCAGUAAGCCAUAGAAACCGGGCAGCUAGAGUGCAGGAGAGGAUCGUGGAAUUCCAUGUGUAGCGGUGAAAUGCGUAGAUAUAUGGAGGAACACCAGUGGCGAAGGCGACGAUCUGGCCUGCAACUGACGCUCAGUCCCGAAAGCGUGGGGAGCAAAUAGGAUUAGAUACCCUAGUAGUCCACGCCGUAAACGAUGAGUACUAAGUGUUGGAAGUCAAAUUUCAGUGCUGCAGUUAACGCAGUAAGUACUCCGCCUGAGUAGUACGUUCGCAAGAAUGAAACUCAAAGGAAUUGACGGGGGCCCGCACAAGCGGUGGAGCAUGUGGUUUAAUUCGAAGCAACGCGAAGAACCUUACCAGGUCUUGACAUACUCAUAAAGGAUCCAGAGAUGGAUAGAUAGUUAUAUGAGAUACAGGUGGUGCAUGGUUGUCGUCAGCUCGUGUCGUGAGAUGUUGGGUUAAGUCCCGCAACGAGCGCAACCCUUGUCGUUAGUUACCAUCAUUAAGUUGGGGACUCUAGCGAGACUGCCAGUGACAAGCUGGAGGAAGGCGGGGAUGACGUCAAAUCAUCAUGCCCCUUAUGACCUGGGCUACACACGUGCUACAAUGGAUGGUGCAGAGGGAAGCGAAGCCGCGAGGCGAAGCAAAACCCAUAAAACCAUUCUCAGUUCGGAUUGUAGUCUGCAACUCGACUACAUGAAGUUGGAAUCGCUAGUAAUCGCGAAUCAGCAUGUCGCGGUGAAUACGUUCUCGGGCCUUGUACACACCGCCCGUCACACCAUGAGAGUUGAUAACACCCGAAGCCGGUGGCCUAACCGAAAGGAAGGAGCUGUCUAAGGUGGGAUUGAUGAUUGGGGUGAAGUCGUAACAAGGUAACCGUAA
rnacentral:rRNA from 1 species